GCGGGAACUUAAGCAUAUCAAUAAGCGGAGGAAAAGAAACCAACAGGGAUUGCCUCAGUAACGGCGAGUGAAGCGGCAACAGCUCAAAUUUGAAAUCUGACUUCGGUCCGAGUUGUAAUUUGUAGAGGAAGUCUCGGGUGCGAUACCGGUCUAAGUUCCUUGGAACAGGACGUCAUAGAGGGUGAGAAUCCCGUAUGCGACUGGUGGUCAACCCCAUGUGAGGCCCCUUCGACGAGUCGAGUUGUUUGGGAAUGCAGCUCAAAAUGGGUGGUAAAUUUCAUCUAAAGCUAAAUACCGGCCAGAGACCGAUAGCGCACAAGUAGAGUGAUCGAAAGAUGAAAAGCACUUUGGAAAGAGAGUUAAAAAGUACGUGAAAUUGUUGAAAGGGAAGCGCUUGCAACCAGACUUGCUCGCGGGUGAUCCACCGUCCCUCGGGGCGGUCUACUCUCCCGUGAUCAGGCCAACAUCGGUUUCGGUGGCUGGAUACAGGCUCCGGGAAUGUGGCUCCCUCCGGGGAGUGUUAUAGCCCGGGGUGCAAUGCAGCCCGCCGGGACCGAGGACCGCGCUUCGGCUAGGAUGUUGGCGUAAUGGUUGUCAGCGACCCGUCUUGAAACACGGACCAAGGAGUCUAACAUCUAUGCGAGUGUUUGGGUGUCAAACCCAUACGCGUAAUGAAAGUGAACGGAGGUGGGAACCCCUUCCGGGGCGCACCAUCGACCGAUCCUGAUGUCUUCGGAUGGAUUUGAGUAUGAGCAUAGCUGUUGGGACCCGAAAGAUGGUGAACUAUGCCUGAAUAGGGUGAAGCCAGAGGAAACUCUGGUGGAGGCUCGCAGCGGUUCUGACGUGCAAAUCGAUCGUCAAAUUUGGGUAUAGGGGCGAAAGACUAAUCGAAACCAUCUAGUAGCUGGUACCUGUCGAAGUUUCCCCUCAGGAUAAAC
rnacentral:rRNA from 1 species